GUGCUUGCUUUGGCAGCACAUAUACUAAAAUUGGAACCAUACAGAGAAGAUUAGCACGAACUCUGCACAAGGAUGACACACAAAUUCGUGAAGUAUUCCAUGUUUCU
ensembl:snRNA U6 U6 spliceosomal RNA